UACGGAGAGUGCGAGCGUUGUCCGGAUUUAUUGGGUUUAAAGGGUGCGUAGGUGGCUAUUUAAGUCAGUGGUGAAAUACAGCCGCUCAACGGUUGAGGUGCCAUUGAUACUGAAUAGCUUGAAAGAAUUGGAGGCUGCCGGAAUGGAUGGUGUAGCGGUGAAAUGCAUAGAUAUCAUCCAGAACACCGAUUGCGAAGGCAGGUGGCUACGAUUUAUUUGACACUGAGGCACGAAAGCAUGGGGAGCAAACAGG
rnacentral:rRNA from 1 species